GUGACAGGCUCAUCUUCAUUACUAAGAAUAUCUCCCACCCUUGGAGGCAUUUCCACUGUAGGUUUAAUGGUGCAUUCUCUCUCAGGAUCACAAAGCUAUGCACUUUACUUCCUUGCUUAACUCUUUUAGCACCUGUGGGAAGUUGGAAGAAUGAAAGCACUAACCUGUGAGGCUGUGAGCUCCAUGAGGGCAGGGCCUUUGACUGAUUUGCUCACUGCCACACCUUCAGUUGUGAGAACAGCAGCGGGGACACAGUAGAUCCUCA
rnacentral:lncRNA from 10 species